rnacentral:tRNA from 1 species
GGGGACUUAGCUCAGUGGUAGAGCGCUUGCCUAGCAAGCGCAAGGCCAUGGGUUUGGUCCCCA